ensembl:snRNA U6 U6 spliceosomal RNA
GUGCUCACUUUGGCGGCACAUACACUAAAAAAUAUUGAACAAUACAGAGAAGAUAUAUGGUCCCUGCACAAGAAUUAUACGCAAUUUUAUGAAGCGUUCCAUAAAAAA